UACGUAGGUGUCGAGCGUUGUCCGGAUUUAUUGGGCGUAAAGCGCCCGCAGGCGGCUUGGCAAGUUUGAGGUGAAAUCUCCCGGCUCAACUGGGAGCUUGCAGGCGAAACUGCCGUGCUGGAGUGUGGGAGAGGUGCGUGGAAUUCCCGGUGUAGCGGUGAAAUGCGUAGAUAUCAGGAGGAACACCUGUGGCGAAAGCGGCUCACUGGACCACAACUGACGCUGAUGCACGAAAGCUAGGGGAGCAAACAGG
rnacentral:rRNA from 1 species